UCUGCUGAGGAGUGAAGUUCUAAAUUCUAAGAAGUGAUUUUUCAAGCCGUCAGCAGAGUUUCUUCGAACUGCUUUUUAUCUGAAAGUUUGCAAAACACAUCGAAAAAUUUUGAUGGCAAUUUACAAAUAGUGUGAAUCUGAAGGUGGAAAUCAAAAAUAAUGCAAUCAAGGCACAUAAUUGGACGUAACUAGUUUGGAUUUAUGUAAAAUAGCUCAAAUUCCGAAUAUUAAAGAAAAAUUGGCUGCGUACUGGGUGAUGAUUCAACCGGCGUCGGAGAAAAAGUUUCAUGAACAGCACAUAUCUACUGAUUCUCGCCGAAGUAGUGCAUAUCUUGUUGAGUAAUUGACUUCAGUGUACGCCCAUGGACCGUAUAACUCUUUGCGAGUUGAUUUUUGUUUCAACAAUUUUCAAUUGCCGUGUCCACAUCAAUUUUUCUUACGAUCAUCAGUUUUCUGAUUUUUCGGGGGGCCUGCUUUGGGCGGCCAUGGCACCUCCAGAUUUAAGGCCUGCUGCCUUUUUACAACAUAAUUCUUUAUUGCAGACACUAUGGCUUUAGAAACAGUAAUUCUUUCAUCCCCGAAUUGAUUUGCUACUUUUUUAUAUGCCAUUAUAGCCUGGCAAACUGCUUCCACGCCAUGUAACACUUUGGGGUAAAUUUUAGGAUCCACUUUUGGAAUCUCGAAAUGGAGCAAGCAGGAAUUGGUUCAACUUGAACUAAGCUUUCCAAAGCACACGCAAUAUUUUAUUUAGCGCUGUUGUUUCAAAAACUACGAGAAAUUUGCGACUCGGACUAUAAAAUGGAAAUACCCUGUAUUAGAGAACUCUCAGCAGCCGAACACAAAGUUAACCAUACACACACAUAAUAAUCGUCAAACCAAGUAUCAAACUCGUCAAUUUUAAUUUUCAUAUUUUUUUAAAUGAAGACUGGAAACGGAUAUUUGGCCCUCAUCCUGGCCACUUUGGUCCUGCUGACAAGCGCCCCAAGUCAGGUUGAGGGCGGUCCCGUCUCGGCCUCCCUUUGCAUUGCGGGAUGUAACGUGGCGCUCGGUGGGUGUGCCACGUGCGGCGUGGCUGCCGCCACCGUGACGGGAGGCGCCGCUGCACCAGCCGCUGGUUGGGCGUGCACGGUAGCGUACACCGCGUGCGUUGGGGCUUGUACUGCAUCCACCGUUUUGCCCACGCCGUAAAAAAUGGCAGCUCUAAUUAUGAAUCGAAUUGGAAGAGAAAUCCAUCCGUGUCUUCAAUUCCAUCGUCAUUGUUAUGGAAACAAGUCGACUAGUGAGGAUCAGAAUUUCGAAUUACAUAUUUAUUAAUCAAAUUUUAUAUUACUUACAAAAUUCCAAAGUAGCAACAUGCAGUUUAUGCAACGAAUCGUUUACAUAGAUGUGUUAAUAAAUAAAUAAAACCUAGAAAAUCA